rnacentral:rRNA from 1 species
UUCGGUUCACUGAGAAAUGGGAGUGGCGAACGGGUGAAUAACACGUGGGUAACCUACCCAUCAGCGGGGGAUAACACUUGGAAACAGGUGCUAAUACCGCAUAAUUCUUUUCUUCGCCUGGAGGAAAGAUGAAAGACGCUUUUGCGUCACUGAUGGAUGGACCCGCGCUGCAUUAGCUAGUUGGUGGGGUAACGGCUCACCAAGGCCACGAUGCAUAGCCGACCUGAGAGGGUGAUCGGCCACACUGGGACUGAGACACGGCCCAGACUCCUACGGGAGGCAGCAGUAGGGAAUCUUCGGCAAUGGACGGAAGUCUGACCGAGCAACGCCGCGUGAGUGAAGAAGGUUUUCGGAUCGUAAAACUCUGUUGUUAGAGAGGAAUAAGGAUGAGAGUAGAAUGUUCAUCCCUUGACGGUAUCUAACCAGAAAGCCACGGCUAACUACGUGCCAGCAGCCGCGGUAAUACGUAGGUGGCAAGCGUUGUCCGGAUUUAAUGGGCGUAAAGCGAGCGCAGGCGGUUUCUUAAGUCUGAUGUGAAAGCCCCCGGCUUAACCGGGGAGGGUCAUUGGAAACUGGGAGACUUGAGUGCAGAAGAGGAGAGUGGAAUUCCAUGUGUAGCGGUGAAAUGCGUAGAUAUAUGGAGGAACACCAGUGGCGAAGGCGACUCUCU